GACGAACGCUGGCGGCGCGCUUAACACAUGCAAGUCGAGCGAAGCGGCGGACGGGUGAGUAACACGUGAGUAACCUGCCUUAGACAUUGGGAUAGCCUCGGGAAACCGGGAUUAAUACCAAAUAGUCUAAGAUGGACUCGCGUCCCCUUAGCUGGUUGGUGAGGUAACGGCCCACCAAGGCGACGAUGGGUAGCCGGCCGGUGAGGGUGAGCCGCGACAUUGGAGCGAAGAAACGGUCCAAACUCUACGGGAGGCAGCAGUGGGGAAUAUUGCACAAUGGAGGGAACUCUGAUGCAGCUCCGCCGCGUGAACGAAGAAGGCUUGCGAGGCGUGAAGUUCUUUUAUAUGGGAAGCGGUACCAUAAGAAAAAGCCCCGGCUAACUACGUGCCAGCAGCCGCGGUAAUAC
rnacentral:rRNA from 1 species